GCGGGCCCUGGCUCCGGAGCGAGCGGGCGGCUCCUCCCGCCGGGCUGGGGAGCCCGGCCCGGCCCCUCGGUACGAGCCGCACGCGGGGCUGCCGGGAAAUGGAGGCGGCCCCGGGGAGCGAGAGAGCGGGAGUGUCGCUGGAAAAGCUGAAGAGUCUCUUGCAAUCUCAUGAUUCCCAGCUGGAAAUAUCACGAAUCUCGUGGGGGAAACGCUACCAGAGUGACGGUGUGCAUUGAGCUCAGCCUAGGCAAGCUACAAUCUGCGCACCCUCCUAAUUAAUGUCAUUGCAGGGCUAGGCAGAUUGUACUCUCUGAACUAUUAUCUGAUCAUUUCUGUUACAACCCCCUCAGCUGCUGUCCUAAAUUUAA